GUUGUAUGGUUAAGUGACUAAGCGUACACGGUGGAUGCCUAGGCAGUCAGAGGCGAUGAAGGACGUACUAACUUGCGAUAAGCGCAGAUAAGGCAGUAAGAGCCGUUUGAGUCUGCGAUUUCCGAAUGGGGAAACCCAACUGCAUAAGCAGUUACUGUUAACUGAAUACAUAGGUUAACAGAGCAAACCGGGGGAACUGAAACAUCUAAGUACCCCGAGGAGAAGAAAUCAACCGAGAUUCCGGUAGUAGCGGCGAGCGAACCUGGAUUAGCCCUUAAGCACUCGUUGAAGUAGGUGAACAAGCUGGAAAGCUUGGCGAUACAGGGUGAUAGCCCCGUAACCGACGCUUCAUCGAGCGUGAAAUCGAGUAGGGCGGGACACGUGAUAUCCUGUCUGAAUAUGGGGGGACCAUCCUCCAAGGCUAAAUACUCCUGACUGACCGAUAGUGAACCAGUACCGUGAGGGAAAGGCGAAAAGAACCCCUGUGAGGGGAGUGAAAUAGAACCUGAAACCGUGUACGUACAAGCAGUAGGAGCACCUUCGUGGUGUGACUGCGUACCUUUUGUAUAAUGGGUCAGCGACUUAUAUUCAGUGGCAAGGUUAACCGUAUAGGGGAGCCGUAGCGAAAGCGAGUCUUAACUGGGCGCUCAGUCUCUGGAUAUAGACCCGAAACCGGGUGAUCUAGCCAUGGGCAGGUUGAAGGUUGAGUAACAUCAACUGGAGGACCGAACCGACUAAUGUUGAAAAAUUAGCGGAUGACUUGUGGCUAGGGGUGAAAGGCCAAUCAAACUCGGAGAUAGCUGGUUCUCCCCGAAAGCUAUUUAGGUAGCGCCUCGGACGAAUACUACUGGGGGUAGAGCACUGUUAAGGCUAGGGGGUCAUCCCGACUUACCAACCCUUUGCAAACUCCGAAUACCAGUAAGUACUAUCCGGGAGACACACGGCGGGUGCUAACGUCCGUCGUGGAGAGGGAAACAACCCAGACCGCCAGCUAAGGUCCCAAAGUAUUGCUAAGUGGGAAACGAUGUGGGAAGGCUCAGACAGCUAGGAUGUUGGCUUAGAAGCAGCCAUCAUUUAAAGAAAGCGUAAUAGCUCACUAGUCGAGUCGGCCUGCGCGGAAGAUGUAACGGGGCUAAGCAAUACACCGAAGCUGCGGCAAUGUCUUUUAGACAUUGGGUAGGGGAGCGUUCUGUAAGCCGUUGAAGGUGAAUCGUAAGGUUUGCUGGAGGUAUCAGAAGUGCGAAUGCUGACAUGAGUAACGACAAAGGGGGUGAAAAACCUCCUCGCCGGAAGACCAAGGGUUCCUGUCCAACGUUAAUCGGGGCAGGGUGAGUCGACCCCUAAGGUGAGGCCGAAAGGCGUAAUCGAUGGGAAACGGGUUAAUAUUCCCGUACUUCUGACUAUUGCGAUGGGGGGACGGAGAAGGCUAGGUGGGCCAGGCGACGGUUGUCCUGGUUCAAGUGCGUAGGCUUAAGAGUUAGGUAAAUCCGGCUCUUUCUAAGGCUGAGACACGACGUCGAGCUGCUACGGCAGUGAAGUCAUUGAUGCCAUGCUUCCAGGAAAAGCCUCUAAGCUUCAGAUAGUCAGGAAUCGUACCCCAAACCGACACAGGUGGUCGGGUAGAGAAUACCAAGGCGCUUGAGAGAACUCGGGUGAAGGAACUAGGCAAAAUGGUACCGUAACUUCGGGAGAAGGUACGCUCUUGAUGGUGAAGUCCCUCGCGGAUGGAGCUGACGAGAGUCGCAGAUACCAGGUGGCUGCAACUGUUUAUUAAAAACACAGCACUGUGCAAAAUCGCAAGAUGACGUAUACGGUGUGACGCCUGCCCGGUGCCGGAAGGUUAAUUGAUGGGGUUAGCGCAAGCGAAGCUCUUGAUCGAAGCCCCGGUAAACGGCGGCCGUAACUAUAACGGUCCUAAGGUAGCGAAAUUCCUUGUCGGGUAAGUUCCGACCUGCACGAAUGGCGUAAUGAUGGCCACGCUGUCUCCACCCGAGACUCAGUGAAAUUGAAAUCGCUGUGAAGAUGCAGUGUACCCGCGGCUAGACGGAAAGACCCCGUGAACCUUUACUACAGCUUGGCACUGAACAUUGAACCUACAUGUGUAGGAUAGGUGGGAGGCUAUGAAGACGUGACGCUAGUUGCGUUGGAGCCGUCCUUGAAAUACCACCCUUGUAUGUUUGAUGUUCUAACUUAG
rnacentral:rRNA from 1 species